AGCAGCCGCGGUAAUUCCAGCUCCAAUAGCGUAUAUUAAAGUUGUUGCAGUUAAAAAGCUCGUAGUUGAAUUUCGGGAUCAAUUUAUUGGUCGUGCUAUUGUACGUACUGGUAUUAUUGAUUUCUACCUUCUGACGAACCAUGAUGUCAUUAAUUUGGUGUCUUGGGGAAUCAGGACUGUUACUUUGAAAAAAUUAGAGUGUUUAAAGCAGGCUCACGCUUGAAUACAUUAGCAUGGAAUAACGAAAUAGGACGUUUGAUUCUAUUUUGUUGGUUUCUAGGAUCGACGUAAUGAUUAAUAGGGAUAGUUGGGGGCAUUAGUAUUCAAUUGUCAGAGGUGAAAUUCUUGGAUUUAUUGAAGACUAACUACUGCGAAAGCAUUUGCCAAGGAUGUUUUCAUUAAUCAAGAACGAAAGUUAGGGGAUCGAAGACGAUCAGAUACCGUCGUAGUCUUAACCAUAAACUAUGCCGACUAGGGAUCGGAUGAUGUUAAUUUUUAAUGUACUCAUUCGGCGCCUAAC
rnacentral:rRNA from 1 species